rnacentral:rRNA from 1 species
CCUACGGGGGACAGCAGUGAGGAAUAUUGGUCAAUGGCCGGAAGGCUGAACCAGCCAUGCCGCGUGAAGGUCAGUGCCCUACGGGCGUUAAACUUCUUUUGUGCGGGAGCAAUAAUGGUCACGUGUGGACAGACGAGAGUACCGUACGACUAAGCAUCGGCUAACUCCGUGCUAGCAGCCGCGGUAAUAGGGGGGAUGCAAGCGUUAUCCGGAUUUAUUGGUUUUAAAGGGUGCGUAGACUGUGAGGUAAGUCAGCUGUGAAAUGCCCCCGCUCAUCGGGGUGAAGUGCCAUUGAUACUGCCUUUCUGGAAUGCGGAUGCCGUGGGAGGAAUGUGUGGUGUAGCGGUGAAAUGCAUAGAUAUCACACAGAACACCGAUUGCGAAGGCAUCUCUCGAAUCCGCGAUUGACGCUGAUGCACGAAAGCGUGGGUAUCAAACAGGAUUAGAUACCCUUGUAGUC